rnacentral:sRNA from 1 species
CCAUUUUGAAAUUUAGUGAUAUUUUCAAACACGUUGCAGUGAAUCCCCCUAUGCGGUGGGGCAAAUCAACUGAAGGCUAUUAAAGAUGCCUAAGAGCGAACCACGGUUAGUUGGCCAAAGGUUCACCGGGAGGCACCCGGCACUACAACAGGCCCUUGCAGAAAUGCAGGGGCUUUUCUCAUUUAAGGGCUGCCAGCUUGGCGGCCUUUUUUAUUGCC